UUUUGACAUGUAAAAUCCAGUCAUAGCUUGGGUUUCCCAGAAGCAGUCCCUGAGACAAAGAUUUUAGUGCAACAGUUUAUUUGGGAGGCGAUCCUGGGAAACACCAGAAGGGAAGUGGAAAAUUGAAAUGUCGAAGGAAGCCAAUAAAAUAUGCGUUAUUGAGCAGAUGGCCCCUGUGACCAACUAGGCUCAGUAUCUCUGGGGAACCCCCAGAGACAGUGUAGAGUAAAUUCCAGAAUUAUGCCAUCCAAGGGAAAAGGGAGGGAGCUGAAUCAUUCAUCUCUCAGCUGUUGCAAGCUAUUGGUGGAGGGAUUUUCCCAAGAGGCAUUACCUCCCAGGCUUGUCCUCACUUUGCCUGUGUGGCCUCCAGUGGUCAGACAGAACCCAAAGGAAAAGAGCCAGGGUGCAGAUUGGCAGAAGCUAUUCUGGCCCAUGUGCAGAGCAUCAAGAAUGUGUGCUGCAAAAGGGAGAAGAGAAAAAAGUGCAUGAAGUAAAGAAAAAGCAGGGAAUGAGAGAAAAAAAUGGAGGAGUGAGUGCCACAGUCCAGUCAGUAAGUGCUACAUCUCAGGAGGCCGACCCUUUAUUGCUGUCAUUAGAAUGGCAGCCAGAAGAAGGAAGUCCAGCCGAAGGCUGAAGCGGUGCGGGAAUGCAAGCUUGAUGGAGGAGGUGCAGGCUAGUGUGAGGCCAAUCAGGGCUGUGAUUUACUCUGCUAAAAGAAAAAUCUCCCAGGUCAGAAGAUGGGAGAGAAGUGCCGAAAUGCUUCAUGUUCACCAGCUCUUGUUGCCCAGGCUGGAGUGCCAUGGUCCAAUCUCGGCUCACCACAACCUCCGCCUCCCAGGUUCAAGCAAUUCUCCUGCGUCAGCCUCCCGAGUAGCUGGGAUUAUAGGCAUGCACCACCAAGCCUGGCUAAUUUUGAAUUUUUAGUAAAGACAGGGUUUCUCCAUGUUGAGGCUGAUCUUGAACUCCUGACCUCAGGUCAUCCGCCCACCUUGGCCUCCCAAAGUGCUGGGAUUACAGGUGUGAGCCACCGCGCCCAGCCCCAAUGCCUGGCUAAUUUUGUAUUUUUAGUAGAGACGUGGUUUCUCCAUGUUAGUCAGGCUGGUCUCGAACUCCUGACCUCAGGUGAUCCACAAGUCUCAGCCUCCCAAAGUGCUUGGAUUACAGGCGUGAGCCACUGCGCCUGGAAUAGUAUUCUAUUUUUGUUUGAAGAAUGCAAUCCGG